rnacentral:RNase_P_RNA from 1 species
AAAGUAAGCCGUCUUAUCGCUGCGCUUAUCUAGCGUAGAGGAAAGUCCGGACACCGAAGAGUAGCAUAGCGGAUAACAUCCGUCAUCAUAUGCGAAUAUGAUAGGACCAGUGCAACAGAAAGAAUGUACAGUUCGGCUGUAGUGAAAUCAGGUAAACUCUAUGCGGUGCAAUGCUAUGUACAUUGGAGAUCCGAGUAAUCGGGAGAGAACUACUCGUUCGAUUCAAGGGGUGAGCAGCUAGAGUUGUAAAGUAAUUUGCAACCCAGAUAAAUGAUAAGAGUCUGUCUUUGGACAGAUACAGAAUCCGGCUUACAGGCUUACUUUUCUA